AGUCAACUGCCCUGGAAUAAAAACACUUUAUUCUUCCUCUGUCUGCAAUGGAGGGGUCAGAGACAUGGCCAUCUGAUGGACCAAAAUCUAGAAUUGACCUUGUGACUGAGGAGUGUCUCAAACAUUCAGCCUCUGCUGUAGUGUACCUGAAACUGAAUCCUUGUGAACAAGAAUCCAUAGAAGAUUCUCACUUUGUUUGUGGCUGACCAGAACUUGUUCCUCAAACCUUAUUGCAUAGCCAAUACAACUCUGACCACCAAAAAAUCUCCAAGAACAAUGGAUUGAGGUCCCUUGGCCAAUGAAUAAAACUUCCAGCCUGGAUCCAAGGCCACUUAUCUAAGAUUCUCACCAGAAAGGCCAAUAUCCCUCACACCCAUACCUGUGCGGCUUAUAGUAAGUUUAAAUAGGGUUUAGAUCCAGUGACUUUGACACAAGAUUUCAGAAUAAAUCUCAGAUUGCUGUCAAGUCUGUAGUGGAGGCCUUGGAGAUAAGAAUUUUCUUGAGUUCUCUGAAAAUAUGGAGCCCUGGAGUGCUGGGACCAUAGUCUUCUAUAGAAGGUAAUCAGGAAUAGUCCCUUACUUUCAAACUGGUUUAAGACCUUUCUCCUUUCAAAAACAUUGGUAUUUUUUUCUGCUCAGGAUGAUUAGGCCUUAGAGUUACUCAUUUGACCAAAUGGUCUCUCAGAACCAUCCCUUUUGCUUGGGGCCCAUGGAAUAUUUUACCUCAGACCAUGGAGCAUUGAUCCCUCUGUUGAAGGUUCACUGAAAUCCAAAAGGAGGGAGCAAAUCCUGGAAUCUCAUGCUACUUCCUUGUGUAAGGUCACAUGAUAUGUUGUGAAGUCAUCAGUCUGGUGCUCAUUUCUUUUUGGUUGAAUAUAGUUUUUAGGAGGCAAUCAGGCUUAGGACACCCCCAACUUUUCUUGAAUCAUGGAAUCUAUAUUCAGUCUCUUGCAGAUUCAGCUAAAGAUGUGUAUAUGCUAGACUGUGAAGUACCAUUAGAAGAUGAAGCAAUGUAGGACCUCUUGAGCUAUUUUCAAGGUAAACUGGAGGUUCACUUGGGAUGCAAUGAAGAGCCCCUGACAAGCAUAUUCUUCAAAGCCUCCCAUGGUGUAACUGAAGAUACGAUAUGUGAAGUAGCCCUAGCUUGCCUGCUCAAGUGGACAAGAGCACUUUCACCAAAGGCCCACAUUGGCCUGAAAUAUCUUCUUUUGCCCAAGGCGUACUCAUGCCUGCACUCUCUUGUGGCCAUCAUUAGCACUUCUUCUCUUGAUUUUGUGAGCCUGCUAUAUCCCAACUGUUUAGGAUUACAUACAAACUUAUUUCUGCUACAUGUAUUCUGAGACAUUCCUCCAUGGAAGGAAGGGGUGUUGAUCUUUUCUUGUCUGACAAAAGUCUUCAAAGCCCAAAGACAACUGCUGGAAUGAAAUGCAACCUAUAGGACUGAUGGAAGAAUUGCUACCUGGACGUUCAAAUGCCAUGAAAAUAUAUGGACAUUCUAAAUACUGAUAAAGAAUAGGAAGCUGAUCAAGCAAUACUGGAUCUUCCUCUGCUCCACGAGAGGUGUCCUUUCACAUGCAGAGGAAUGUGUAGAUGGACAUAUAUUUGAAUAAGAUACUGAACCUAAGACUACUGCAUUAGAGCCUCGUACAAGACUUCUAAGACUGUUGACUGCCUACCAUGGAUAUUCAGAAUGGCUUUUUGGCCUUGUGGAAGGUGUAUAACAUGUAUAUCCAACUCAUCAUGGCUGAAAUCAGUAAAAUGUAGACAACUAUAUAAUGAAUGAAAGGAAGGGGUCACUCUUGGAAAGUAUUAACAAGAUCGUCAUAACCUCUGGCCAUGUUAGGUAAUGAAAGGGUUGAAUUAAUAAAAAGAUAGAGAAUAUAGGAAACAUGGAGGAAACACAGAUUAUUUAGAUUUACAGUCCCAAAUCUAGAAUAUUUUUUAAAGCAUUCGUGAUUUACUGUGGGGAGCUGGCGUAGUGGCAAUCCCAAGAUGGAGUCCGGGACUGCUGCCACGUCUCACGAAUAGCACCUGAAAUUAAGCCCAUGCCCCAUUGUGAGAACUGCGCAGGCGCACCAUAACAUUAUAUGACGUGGACCUAUGAACAGAGGUUACACAGACUGGUGAGGUGGUUGAGGGAGGAUAUAAGGGAGUGGCCUCGGGGGCUGGAUGGAGGCAUUGUUCCUGCUUGCAGACAAAAGGGUUCCUGAAUAAACUGCUUUGAGAAGAACGUGUGGUGUUGCUCCUUUCCUGCUGGUCGGGGUUGGAAGUGAGAGUAUAUACUAGAUGUAUUGGGUAUAGCAAUAUUAAAUCAGCUCACUUUACAUAAUUAAAACAGCUCUAUACUAAAUAAUUACAUAGAAUCAGGUAUUCAAUUUCUCCCACCUCAAAUAUCAUAGAUUCACAUGUAUUCAGUUGAAAAGAAAUGAAUAUACAUUUAAAUAGCAUUUAAAGUUUUUAGGACUAUUUCAUAAAGUAGACAAAAGGAUUUAAUACAUUAAAAUUCUAUUUUGAAUCUGGUAUUAUCUAACAAUGAUAGAGAAAAUAAGGAGAGAGAGUGAGACAGGGGGACAAUCUGGCAAAAGGGAAGGUAAUGAGAGAGGGAGAAAGAGGUACGGACCACUGACACAAAGAGAGGAAGAGGGAGUAUUUUACACACUAAUUUAAACCUAUACACACAUAUUCUCAAUAAAAUACUUGUGAACAGAUUCAAGUCAACAUUAAAAAUAAUCUUCUACCAGAUAAGCUUUCUUCAAAUCCCAGACAUACAAGAGAGAAAAAUUUAAACAGGUCCACUACAAGCAACAAGAAGACAAGAAUAUACACUGGUUUCACAACUAUGUAUUACAGUAUUUGGAAUUUUAGCUGGAGGAAUAUGACAACCGAAGAAGAUCCAGGGAAUACAAAUGAAAAAUUAAGAAAUCAAAAUGUUCUCGUUUGCAGAUGUCAUGACACCAUUUUAAAAACUCUAAAAAUGUAUCAGUCUCUUAAGACUGAAAAAUACGGUCAUAAAAGCAGAAUAUCAUACGAACACACAAAAUUCCUUAGCCUUCCUUUAUGCCAAUCCAAACCAUACUUUGAGGAAAUAUGGGUCAAAUUCCCCUCACAAUAAUCUGAAUAUAUAAAAUAAAAUAUUGUGGAUGAAAAUAUUAAAGAUGCAAAGACCACUAUGAAUUAGCUAGACGUGAUCCUGAAUAGAGACAAUUGUUCUUUAAAAGUUUAAGUUUCUUAAAGCUGAAAAUAUAUUCACAAUUCAAAGUGAAAACUCAAAACACGUUAUCGUUUUUGUUUUCCAAUUUCAAACCAUGGGAGAGAAACAAGGGAAGUAUUCCACUUGAAACACUCUUAAAAUAUAUAACAAAAUACCCUGAAUUCGCAUAGAUAUAAAGCAUACUAUGAGAAGACAUACGAAGUAACCAUGAUCCAUCCAGAAAACAUAUAAGAACAUUCCAGCUGAUGUUCUGAAGGACCUUAAAGACUUGAAUAAAUCAAACUUUUAUAGUUUUAAGAAUAAGUAGAUAGUAUAAUAAUGUCAAUUUUUGAUUAAUU